UGCACUGUGUGGUAUCUGCAGCCAGUGGUUUCAUCCGCUGGGUUGUUCAAAUUUCGGUGCAAGACAAAAUCAACACCUGGCAUCGUUGGUCUCCAUUCUGCUUGUGUUCGGAGUCCUGGUAUAUUUGUUGAAACACAC